CAGCCAUGCUGUUUUUUCCGGAUUUCAAUAGCCAUUUGGACAAAGGUGUUUGUGCAUAAACUUUUGGGCCUAAUUGGGUUGCUGGUUUUUCUUUGAAUAUUUUGAGGUGGACUAGGACCCUCAUGAUGCGGUAAAGGGGAGAAGGAUCGCAUCUCAGAGCAGAUGAUAGCUCUAGGAGUGUCAUGGGGCUGCCAUGGCUUUCAAUUGCAUCAGCUAUUCCAAGCUGAAUGGCACAUUUUACCACUGCGAUUUCGACAAACCCGAACACAUAUUUCCAGAUUUCCAGUUUGGCAUGUUCUUCUUCUUUCUCUUCUCCUCCUAACUCUCUUUGUUUAUCUUCCAUCUCUUUCUGUGUGUGUCAUAGGCUCUAAGGUAACAAUAUAUAUAAUUUGCAGGAAGAGAUUGCAGUAUGGUUACAUGCAGAACAUGUGUUGAACAGUUUAGGUAAUGUUUCAUUUUCAUUGGGAUUUUUCCCAGAUUCAGCCACUCAAUUUUAAAUGUAUUUUCAUGUAAUGGUAGACAUCUUUUGCCUUACUGGCUGGAAGGAUUUUGUCUUGUAUACAAAACAUGGUAAGCAUGGUAAGCACGCAUUGUUUAGCAGUAGCUAGUGGCAUUAUCAUAAGAAUCAUGUGUUUUUGCUGUGAGCAUAAUUUUUGCUUGUUUCUUAUUUUUGGCUUUCCAGUCAUGUUUUGAUACUCCUCUAACAUGUAUUAAAUGAAAGAAGUGAAAUGUAUGGGGUAAAGCCUCAAUAAUCAUGAGGGCAUAUUGUAUUGAUUUAUACAGUAUUACAGAUAGAGUCCUAUAUCAAAUAUGAUAAGGAUACAAUGUCAUCAGAUAACCAAGAGGAAUCCCACAUGGGAUAAACGUAAAUACAAGAUAGAAUCCUAAGGACAAUAGUCAUCUAAUACACCCCAGCAAGCUGACAGGGGAGGAACGCACUGGAAGCUUAGAGGUCAGCAGCUGGAAACGUGGAAUAGACAACCCCUUCGUAAAAAUGUUGGGAAUUUGGUCAUAAGUAGCAGGGGUGGGCACGGUUUGGUUUGGACCAGUUUUUGCCUCAAAUUAGAACCGAUCCGAUACUAUUUAACUGGUUUGGUUCGGUUCAGUUUUAAUAAAAAAAUUUCAAAAACUGUCCAGUUCGGUUUGAACCGAUUUCGAUUCGGUUCCGAUUCCGGUUCGAUUUUGAAUCGGAUCAUAAAAAUUGUUUUAAAAAAUUAUUUUUUAAUAUAAUUGUCAACUGAAAUAUUAUUUUUUUACUUGAAAAUUUACAAAUUAUUCAAUUUCAUAUAAAAAAUAAAUAUUAAAGUUAGAAAAGAGAGAUAUUUUGAAAUUGAACUUGGAUAAAUAUUAGUUUUUUUUAGUGAAAUUCAAAAUAUAGUAUUAAAUAUAAAUAUAUAUUAAAAUUAUAUAUUUUUUUAAUUUGACCGGUUCGGUUUGGCUCGGUCCGAUUUUUAAAGACAUGGAACUGGAUUCGAAACCAGUCUAAACCGGUCCGGUUUGGUUUUUGACCGGUUGUUGACUUUUUGGUCAACUCGAUUUUUUUUCAGUUUGGUUCGGUGCGGUUAGGCUCGGAUUUCCGGUUUGUCGGUUUGAGUGCCCACCCCUAAUGAGUAGCAAGAUAACGAACGUCAAGCUUCUGCCGCACAACUUUUUCACGAACAUAAUGAUAAUCAACUUCAACAUGACGAGUACGGGCAUGGAAGACAGGAUUGGAGGCCAAGGAGAUGGCGCUAAUGUUGUCACACCAAAGUUUAGGACAGGAAAGAGAAAGUUGCAGAUCACGAAAUAGUGCACGGAACCAAGAAAUCGCAGCAGUAGUAUAAGCAAGUUGGCGGUACUCGGCUUUGGUGCUGGAGUGAGAAACACCUCCUUGCUUUUUAGAACUCCAUGAAAUUAAAUUAGACCCAAGAUACAAGCAGUAGCCACUCGUGGAGCAACGAUCAUUAGGAUCACAUGCUAAAACAUGAAUAUGGUUUGAAUACUUUGGGUUGCAGUCCCCUUCUAUUGAGGGAUCCCUCAAAUAAAAUUAUUUGAGGGACGUCCUUUAGGGUACCCUACAAUUUUUUUCCCAAUGAUCCAAACCAUCUAUUUUUUAGGUCUUCAUUCAUAGAUCAUCCUUACAAAAAAUUAGACAAAUCGGAAACCGUUUCGACAUCCAAUUGUGUCUUACAAAAUCAAUGAACACGGUACUUCAAGAAAAUGCUAAAAUUUCAAUAACUUAAUUGAGUGGUCAAAUGAUAUCAGAUUCAAGUGGUUUUUUAUAAGGAUGAUCUUUGAAUGAGUAUCUACAAAAUAGACGGUUUAGAUUAGUGAAAUACAAUCCGGAGUGGGGCCUACAAGGGGUGUCCCUCAAAUAAGCUUAUUUGAGGGAUCCCUCAAUGGAAGCUCUCUGCUUUGGGUUGUUCUUUAUUCUUCUCCAUAAGGAGGUAUAUAUAAGAGUUUACAUAUGAAGGUUUUAUAAGGAAUUAGAUAUAGUAAAGAAUUAGAAAAAUAUCUCCUAAUUGUACAAUGAUUUAUCACUUGUAUAAAAAAUAGGAAAGUAAAUUCCUUAAUUAAUCAAGGAAGUAAAUCUCCUUGAUUAAUUAGGAGACUCACGUCAACACUCCUCUUCAAGUUGGUGCAUAUAUGUCACGAAUGCCCAACUUAGUACGUAAGUGAGUCAUGAGAUACUCUUCCACACUCACAGCAUAUGCAAUAUCUAAUCUUGGAGGAUGUAUGAAGAGUAGAACCUUUGGUGGUAGUGAUAGAAGAAGGAGUCUGGGUUGACCGCACGCUUCUGUGAGUGUGUAAUAAGAUGGAGAAUCGUAUGAGUUCUUGACAUCGCAGCGGAAGUGUCACAUCCCGGGAUCGACUUCGCCGUAGCACGAUAUUGUCCGCUUUGGGCCCCCCUCUCUGCCUACACGGUUUUGUUUCUGGGAGCUCACGAGUAACUUCCCAGUGGGUCACCCAUCCUGGGAUUGCUCUAGCCCCCAACUCGCUUAAUUUUGGAGUUACUACGACUCUGAAGCCAGUGAGCUCCCAAAAGGCCUCGUGCUAGAUGGAUGCGAGUGUGCACAUAUAAGGCACAUCACCCCCUUUCCGUUAGUUGAUGUGAGAUCUUACAAUCUACCCCUCUCAAGGGCCUGACGUCCUCGUCGGCACACUCGCACCACACGGCAGAGUGGCUCUGAUACCAAAUUGUCACAUCCCGGGAUCGGCUUCGCCGUAGUACGAUAUUGUCCGUUUUGGGCCCCCCUCUCAGCCUGCACGGUUUUGUUUCUGGGAGCUCACGAGCAACUUCCCAGUGGGUCACCCAUCCUGGGAUUGCUCCAGCCCCCAACUCGCUUAACUUCGGAGUUCCUACGACUCCAAAGCCAGUGAGCUCCCAAAAGGCCUCGUGCUAGAUGGAUGCGGGUGUGCACAUAUAAGGCACAUCACCCAUUCUCCGUUGGUUGAUGUAGGAUCUUACAGGAAGUAAGAUGUGAUAUGAGAAGGCGAGGAAGGUGGGAUGUGAGAAAUUUGAUAUAUGAAUUUGAUGUAGGAAUUGGAUUUAAGAUGUAUGUGUAUAAGAUUUGAUUGUAUGUGUUUAGGAAUUUGGAUAAGAGGAUUUGAGGACUUUAGAUUUGAGGGAUUUGGAUUUGGGGAAAAAAAAAGAGGAAUUUGAUUUAGGGUUUUGGAUUUGAAUAUGAGAAAUUUGAAGAAAUUUGAGCUAAGGGUUUAGAGACAAAACAACUUCUCUUCACUCCCCUUCUCCCCUUGAAGAGAAUGAGUCGUCAGAGUCAAGAAAUAAGCAACAUCUUCUUGGGAUACGUCAAUAAACAUAGCCAUUUCACACUUUUUUUUUUGGGUAGAGUUUGCCUCUCCUAAGUAUGCGGGGUGUCGCCGGUGAGGUACCCCAAUUUUUUGCGGGCAACAAUAUGCAUCUCCAUGACCUGAGACCAUAAGGCAUAAUUGGUCUCAGUCAGGAUGAUGCCGGUCGGAAACGGAGUGCUGUCACUAUGAAUAGUAACAAUUUGGGAGGAUGGUGGAGUGGAUUUGGUGGGUUCAGAAAUUGAGACAGUAUCCAUGGCAGCGGAAGGACAAAAAAUAUGUGUUUAGGAAUUGAAAGGUAUGAGGGAUACGUGUAUGGAGAUCUGAAUUUGGGAAAGAUAAAGAUGCGGAAUAUAAUGUAGGGUUUGAGUUUGAAGAAAUUUGAUAUGAGAAUUUAGAGACAACCAAGGAUCGAUUGCUCUGAUACCAUGCUAAAAUAUGAAUAUGGUUUGAAUACUUUGAAUUUUUCUUUAUUCUUCUCCAUAAGGAGGUAUAUAUAGGAGUUUACAUAUGAAUGUUUUACAAGGAAUUAGAUAUAGUAAAGAAUUAGGAAAGUAUCUCCUAAUUGUACAAUGAUUUAUCACUUGUAUAAAAAAUAGGAAAGUAAAUCCCUUAAUUAAUCAAGGAAGUAAAUCUCCUUGAUUAAUUAGGAGACUCACGUCAACAUCACCGGCAUAGUCUGCAUCAGAAUAAGCCAUUAAAGACAGGGAACUAGGUUUAUAGAACAAGCCAUGAGUGGAAGUACCAUUAAGAUAGCGAAGAAUACGUUUGACAGCAACCCAAUGAGCAGAGGUAGGUUGGUGCAUAAAUUGGCAGACGUGAUUCACAGCAAAGGCAAUAUCAGGCCAUGUGAGAGUGAGAUAUUGCAACGCAACAACGACGCUGGGGUACUCAGAAGGGUCAUCCGAUGGAGCACCAUCAUGGAGGCUAAGACGAUGUCCACUGGCAACAGGCGAUGAAAUAGGUUUGGAAUUCUGCAUCUUUGUGCGCGUCAACAAGUCCUUUAUAUACUUGGAUUAAGUGAGAGAAAGCCCGUUAGAAGUGCGAAGAAUUUCCAUGCCCAGAAAAUAAUGAACAUGCCCAAGGUCCUUCAUGAAGAAGAGACGGCUCAAGUCUUGAAUGAGUGUGGAGAUGUGGGCUGAGUUAUUGCCUGUAAUUAAAAUGUCAUCAACAUAAAUUAAUAAAUAAAGUCGAAUGAACCCAUUAAGAUAGAUGAGUAAAGAAGAGUCGGUCGUGGAAGCAAUGAAUCCCAAAUCUUCCAAAUGAGUGGAGAAACAUUUAAACUAGGCCUGAGGGGCUUGUUUGAGCCCAUACAGAGAACGCUUAAGACGACAAACAUGGUCAGGAAAUUGGGGGUGAAUGAAUCCUGUGGGCUGACGCAUAUAAACCUCCUCAUUUAGAUAGCCAUGGAGGAAAGCAUUCUGAACGUCCAACUGACGAACAGGCCAUUGAAAUUGAACAGAUAAGGCUAAGAUAAGAUGGAUGGUGGAAUGAUUUACAAUAGGGCUAAAUGUCUCGCCAUAAUCCAACCCUUCUUGCUGAUGAAAACCAUUAGCCACUAAACGGGCCUUGUAAUGUUGAACAGAGCCAUCGGAAUUGCGUUUGAUGCGAAACACCCACUUAUUCGACAAGACAUUCAAGGUGGGCUUUGGAGGAACUAGGACCCAAGUACCGGCUCGUUGAAGAGCAUUCUUCGCCCAUAGCGGUGCGCCAUUCCUGAAAUUUAUUAGCCUGACAGAAGCAAGUUGGCUUAACAAUAUCAUUAGUAGAGGCCAAGAAAGCAUGAUUUUCAUAUUUAGGAUUGGGCUUAUGAACACUAGUUUUAGCACGAGUCACCAUAGAAUGAGUAGUAGAAGUUCUUACCCGAAAAGUAGCCGAAGGUGAUGAGUGUCUUGAGGAACUUGGUAAAACAGGUUCAGGGUCAGGAGAGGGAAAAGUACGGACGGUCCUAUGUGGGGUGCGACGGUAAACUUGGAGAGAACUAGGUGGGAUCAGAUGUGGUAUUGGGCAAGGGAGAAGAUAAGUGUGGGCUGGAGGAUAUGUGGGUUGGCAAGGGUGAGGAUGGGUUGCGAGAGAUGGGCGUGACAAUUUGGUGGCCAUGGGGCUGUGAGGCAGCCAGCUGGUUGGGAAGAGACCCAAAAAUUUGUAAAUGUGGUGUAGAAUCCGUAGAAGAGGAAGAAGAAAUUGGGGCAUGAGGGCCCUUGGUCUCUUGAAAGGGGAAGCAAUGUUCAUAAAAAAUAACAUGGCGUGAUAAAAAGACUUUGUUAGUGGUCAAGUUUAAACAACGAUAACCUUGAUGAUCUAAUGAGUAGCCCAGAAAGACAUACUUAACAGAUCGUAAGUGAAAUUUAUUAGUAGUGUAAGGACGAAGAUAUGGAAAACAUGCAUACCCAAAAAUUUUAAGAAAAGCAAAGUUAGGUUCUUUAUGAAGAAGAAUUUGAUACAGAGACUGUAGACCCAAAACUUUGGAAGGAAGACAAUUAAUUAAAUAAACAGCAGUAUGCAUGGCCUCAGCCUAAUAGGCAGGAGGCAUGGCCAACAAGGUAAGGCCAGUGUCAACAAUAUGACGAUGUUUUCGUUCUACCAAACCAUUUUGUUCUGGGUGAUGGGGACAAGAAAUGCAAUGAUCAAUACCAUGGUAACCAAAAAAUUAUGAAAAAUAUGACUAGUAUAUUCAUCACCCCUAUCAGUUUGAAGAGCUUUAAUUUUUGUAGAAAAUAAAUUCUCAACAAGAGUCUUAAAUUUAACAAACAAAGAGAAAACCUCAAAUUUCAAGCGUAUAGGAAAUAUUCACGAGUAGUGAGAAAAAUUAUCAAUGAAAAGAACAUAAUAUUGAAAUCCAGAAACUGAUUUAUUAGACGAACUCCAUACAUCAGAGUGAAUGAGUGCAAGAGGAGCAUGCGUAACAGACAAAGAAGACUGAAAUGGUAGCUUAACACUUUUUCCUAAAGGACAAGAAUGACAAGUAAAAUUAUUAAAAGUCUUAGUGCCAACAAUAGACAACUUAUUUGUAGACAAUAAAAAUUUUAAAAUAGAAGACGGAGGAUGACCAAGGCGCGAAUGCCAAACAGGACCAUCAACACGUAUACCAAGAUAUGCAAGACGACCAUGAGAUGACAUGCUAGAUGGGAGAGAGUAGAGACCAAGAUUACUCAUGCCCGGAAAAGAGUCUUCCUCGUCCGCGAAUCCUGUACCAAAAAAUGAUUGGGAUAAAACGUGAAGUAACAGUUAUUAUUUCGGGAAAAUUUAUUAACGGACAACAAAUUACAAGAAGUAGUAGGGCAAUGAAGGAUAUCCAUAAGAGAAAAAAUAGAGUUGUUAAGAGGAAGACUAGGGGAGUCAAUAUGGGUGAUAGGCAAACCUAUUCCACCAAGCACACCAUCAACAGAAUCAUGGCCAUGAUAUUCUCGGGAAAGAGAUAAAUUACUCAGAUCAUUGGUGAUAUGAGAGUUGGCCUCAGUAUCCACAACCCAAUUAGGAGGACGAGGAGACGAGGAUUGUUGAGCAGUCAUGGCAGUAAGGCGUUGAGUAGGCAACCGACCUUUAUACGACAAGUUGAGACAAUUGUAGCAAUCCAAAGAAGAAUGCCCAUAACGUCCACAAAUUUGGCACUGAAUACGUGAACCAGAAAAGGGAGCAGAAGGGGAGGGAAAACCAGUAGCAGCCGCAGGAUGAGGACCCAAAACACCAAGCUGCGAAGAAGAACCACCAGGAGAAGAAGAAAAAUCACGACCAGAACCAUGAGAGGAGGAAGAUCUGUGAAACCCAGGAUGUCUAGUAGUAGAGGAAGAACCAGACCAUGAAGCAGAACCACCAAGAUGUCCGCCACGGAAAGAAAAGCUGCCACUACUGCGACUGCGACCACGAGAAGGAGCACGACCAUGGGCAGCAACCAUCGCAGUGGCAAGACCAUCAUGGGCAGGAGCAUGGAGGGCAAGAUAGCGUUGUUCAGCAGAGAGCAAGAGAGCCUCAAGAUCAGCAUAGGUAAUAAGGGUUUCACAAGCUUGAGCAGACGCAACAGUUGACUCAUAUAAGGGCCCAACAUUAUUCAUAAUGACAGCAAGAAAAUCGGAGUCAGGAAAAGGAGAACCAAAUAACUCGAGAUUGUUAAUAAUAGCAUUGACCUUGUCCAAGUAAUCAGCAACGGAGGAAUCACCACGAGCAGUACGGAAGAGUUCAUUAUGAAGUUGCAAAAUCCAAUUUUGAUUCAAAGAGGCGAAACGGUUUUCAAGAGCCACCCAAGUAGAACGAGUAGAGGUAAAACGAGUGACGGUGGCGAGAACCGUAGAACUAAGAGAACCAUUGAUCCAGGAUAAAACCAAUUGGUCUUGCUGAAUCCAAGUAUCAUAAGCAGGAUUAAUGUCAUCAGUAAGCUUGCCCUUGUCAUCCUUAAGAAAUGGAGAAGAAGCGACAGCAGCACUGUUGACGAAGGACAUCAUGUUGCGACUCUUGAGGAGAGGGAGAAUUUGGGCCAACCAAAGGGGAUAGUUAUUGCGAUCAAGCUUGAUAUGAGCAGCUUGAGAGACAGAGGGAAAAGCAGCAGCGGAAUUAGAAGAAGAAGCCAUGGGGAAAAGAAAAAAAAAAGAUAGAUAGAAGAGAAUUUUCAGACUGUAAGUCAAUAGGCUCUUGAUACCAUGAAAGAAGUUGAACGUAUGGGGUAAAGCCUCAAUAAUCAUGAGGGCAUAUUAUAUUGAUUUAUACAGUAUUAUAGAUAGAGUCCUAUAUCAAAUAUGAUAAGGAUACAAUGUCAUCAGAUAACCAAGAGGAAUCCCACAUGGGAUAAACGUAAAUACAAGAUAGAGUCCUAAGGACAAUAGUCAUCUAAUAUUAAAUGUGAGCAUCCAACCCGAAAUCAAUUGACCAUGGAUGGAGAGACCCAAAAUCUUUUAUACCAUUUGACAAGGCUUUUAUUCUCCGAUGUGAGAUUCACACUCUCAAUCAACACAUACAACCUUUAUCUACACACAAAUCGGAGGAACAACUAUUGAGCUAUAUGAAUUGAAUUGAAUCAAUACAGAUGAUACAGUAUUCUGCAGAAAAACUCUAUUUGAUUUUGCUUAGCUUCCAUCCAUUGGCUCUGUCUCGUAAGUCGUAAGGACAUUGAAAGACAAACUCAUGGAAAGAAAGACAUUGGAGGGCUGUGAAUCACAUAUAUGUAUACCUUAAAAAUCAAAGCAUGUGUUGCUCGAAAACAUGCCUACUAGUAUUGGGAUAGAAAGAUAUGUAGCAGCCACAAUGCAUUUGCUUAGAUUUUAUUGCCAACCAUCUAAAGAUUACAAACUGCAAGAGCAGUAGGCUUAUUAACACAACAAUUUUGACAAUGAUGCAACAGAUAAAGACCAAAAGGUAACUUAAACAAUACAAUCAAACAGUACUAAUUUGCAAAAACAAAUCCAUAUCCAUAAAUUUUUGUUCUCUAAAUUUAAGGAAAAGCCUGAAUAACGGAUUGGACAGCAUGAAUAGGUGUGAUAGUGUGUCGGCUGAAGCCAGCUUCCCCAAGAACAUAUCCCCAUUCCUUCAAGGUCCUUUCUUUUCCUGUGUUUGUAUGGGCCAUCAUCACCAUGUCUAGCAUCAAUCUCACAUUUGUUAGUUUGAUGUCCUCUUUCUCAUCUUUUUCAUCAAUAACCGCUUCUACGAUUAUCACCUUCCCUUUAUUCUCCGGAAUAGCUUCCCUGCACUUCUUAAGGAUACGGAUGCACUCAUCAUCGCCCCAGUCAUGAAGAACCCACUGCAAUUCACGAAAACAGAAUCAGAGUAUCCAUUGCAAAAACGCCUUGUUGAGCAAGAAAAAUUAUAGCAAGAUAAUCAGGGAGUGAUGGCAGAGGAACCACAUUUUUUCUUAUCCCAUUAGCGCAGACAAAUGAUGUAAUAAGCAGACAUUAACAGACAAAUCAAAUGAUGAAACUAAUAGCUCACAGGAUGAAUGAAAAAUAUAAACGUGUUGCUGCUAGCUAUUUUAAGGCUGCUCUUCCUUAAAUGGUUUAGUUUUCUUGAUUUCUUUUAACUAUAUACAUAUAUAUAAUAACCUUCAUAAUUACAGCAUCAGCCUUUGGAACACUAUCAAACAUGUCACCUCCAACAUUCUUAAUGUGGUCACACUCCUGAGCAACAGACACAACAUGAGGAAGAUCAAAGUUGAUGCCUUGGACCCAAGGACAUGCCUCAACCAACAAGCGCAAAGUAGUCCCAUCACCCCCGCCCACAUCUACAAUUGUCGCAAUCCCUUUGAACACCUCUAAACAACUUUCAAUCACUGCAGGCACCGCCACCCUUGCAUCACAAGCCAUUGCUUCGUUGAUAAGCUUGCUGUGAUCAGGAUUGGCUUUGGCAUAGCUCCAUACAUCCUCUCCAUGUACUGCUUCAAAUGCUGGAUUGCUAAUACCUUGAAUUCGAGCACUUAGGCCAUGCCAUGGUGCCAGCAUUACCGGGCUACUCUCUAGCAAAAUUAAAGCAGACAUGCUUGUUUCUCCGGAUUUCAAUAGCCAUUUGGACAAAGGUGUUUGUGCAAAAACUUUGGGGCCUAAUUGGGUUGCUGGUUUCUCUUUGAAUAUUUUGAGGUGGACAAGUACCCUCAUGAUGCGGUAAAGGGGAGAAGGAUCACAUCUUAGAGCAGAUGAGAGCUCUAAGAGUGUCAUGGGGCUUCCAUGGCUUUCAAUUGUAUCAGCUAUCCCGAGCUCAAUGGCGCAUUUCACCACUGCGAUUUCAACAAACCCGAAAACAUAUUUCCAGACAUCCACUUUGGCAUGCUCUUCUUCUUCUUCCUCUUCCGAUCUUAACUCUCUACUUUGUUUAUCUUCCAUAUCUUUGUGUGUGUGUGUUUGUCCUAGGGUCUUAGGCGUAUAUGUAAUUUGCAGGAAGAGAUUGGAGUCGAAUGUGCUUAACAUUUAGAAAUCUGUCACUCUCAUUCAAUAUUGAACAUUCAAUUUUGCAGUAGAUCAGAGCUGGGGCCAAUGCAGGGAGUGGAGGUAGCAGCUGCUUUUGCAGUUUUAAAGCCAUUCAAAAGUGAUUUGCUCCUAAGAAAUCAACAAGAUUCACUUUUUUUUUAAUUGAAAAAAUCUGCUUCCAAAAGUGAUUAUCGUAAGAACCAUCAUAUGUGAUUCACCUCUUAUGAACAUUAAGAAGUUGUUGGGGAAUUAAUUGCUUCUAUAAAAGGCCAAGAACAAUCCAGCCUAGUAACACUCUCAAAAUCAAUCCCAAGUCGUCCAGAACAUAUAUAUUUUUCUCAUGAGAAUUUAUAAAAUGAUAAAAAAGAGAGACAACAUUUAAUUUAGUAGGUAAACAUAAAAGCAUACAACUGUUCAAAAUUUCCUCUUUAAGUUGAUGAUAAAGUGGACCCUGGAAAAUAAAUUCAUUUUGCACAUUUCUUUACGCCAGGGAAUCUUGUUUUUCCCAUAAACGGCUCCCUGGAAUUCACAUCUAGUAUCUCAACCACAAACACUCGUAUUCAUUUCCUUCAAUAAUGCCUCUAUGAGCGGUGAAAAUUAUACGAUAUGAAAAUCAAAUCAUUUAGAAAAAGAAUUGCAUACAAGAAACUAAUGAACUAGCACGAAAAACACAUGGCAUGGUUGGUCGGGAAUAGCAAUUUUGCUAUCCCUUCACAAGCUUGAUAUUUUUCUCUUUCUCAGGAUGUUUUCACCAGUGUUACAAAAUACACAAUGACUGGUUUGCAAUUGAGAGUAAAAUUUGAAGAUUUGGUGGGGCGCGCCAGGCCCAUGCAGUAGUGCAACGCUUGGGCGACGCACGAGAGCCCCAAUAGCAAGCUACUGUUGUGGACCCUCCCCCUAAAGAAAUUAAUUUAAUAUUGUGUGGACCAUUGGUCCACCUAUCAGAUAUUAAAUUGAUAAGAACAUAUACUAACUUGAUCUUAGCCAAAAGGCCGAGAAAGGUAUGCUUUUUAUAUUCUCUUGUUUCUCUUUUUAUAGGGCCUUUCACUUCCAUACGUCCUUGGUCUUGUUACAAACAGUUAAAAGGUGUACGAACGAAGGCUGAGGGGUAAGGGCUGUACCUGUGAGUGUGUGACUCGCACAAACAGAGAGCAAAAUUGAUUUGGUUUAUACGGACUGUAUUCUCAUAUAAGAGAAGCAAAGGCUGCUUGCAAUUUGGGAAAAAGGUAUGCCAAGCUUGGUAUCUGUACUAACUAUUUGUCGUUCCAAAUUUGCUUAACAAGUUCAUCACACUUAUGCUAUAAUAACACAAGUGAAAACAAUAUUUUCUUUGUGUUCAUUCUUUGUCAUACAAAUUCUUCAUCUAUUUUCUAAACUUGAACCCAUCAGCACCAAUAUUAAUGCCGAACAAAUCCAAUUAGCACUUUUCAUCACACAAUGAUACAAUACAAGUUUCAAAGAGUGGCUUAUUUAUCAGUCCAUCAUUUAAUUCCUUUAAAUUCGCAAACUUUAAAUCCACCUAAGUGCUUGACAUUAGCUCACGUAAUAAGGGUGGGUGAGAAAAUGAUUUAAGAUUAUGAUAUGUAAAUAGUUUGCUACUUUCUGAUUGUAGCACAAGAAUUUAAGGCAAUAUUCGCUAUUGUUUUGGCAAGAAGCAACUGCAAAACAAAGCCCCGAGUCACACUGAUGCCAUAACGAUCUAACUUGAAAGCAUACAUAGCCAUUUGCGGAAGAGACUGAAUCCAAACUUUUUGGAUUUUGAGGGUGACCAAUGUUAACCAAUGGAAAGAGGGAAAUUUGCCUCCAAAACCCAGGUUGGAAAGAGGGAAAUAAACUUGGCAAUCAAAUGUUCAAUAUCAUGGGACUAUAUUUAUAGGGCCUUACUCGGAAGAGAGAGCCCUUCCAGAAAUUCUCAAGGGCACAUGGCUGAACCAAGGCCCAAGAGGGGGUUUGGAAAUAGUUUUCAACCAGCAAUAGACGCGCCUCGGUUGAAACCUCAUAAGCUGCGUCAUUGCCCCAAGCGCAAAGAUACUUCAAUCAUUGGCUUCCGCUCACUUUUAUCCCACUACAGCAACUCAGCCUUUUCUGCUCUAUAUCCAUGUGGGACUACAACUUCUUCUUUUACAAUUGAGAAUUACAGCAUCGGCCUUUGGAAUACAAUCAAACAUGUCACCUCCAACAUUCUCAAUGCGAUCACACACCUGAGCAUUUUUUUUCUAUUAAUAUUUCUCUCCUUUUUUUUUUUCUUUUUUUUUUUUUCUAAUUUGUUUUGCAGUUGCUUCUCACUCACCCUUAUUACGUGAGCUACUUUGAAGCUUGUAUUGUAUCAUUGUGUGAUGAAAAGUGCUAAUUGAUUUUUAAGGUAUACAUAUAUGUGAUUCACAGCCCCAAUGUCUUUCUUUCCAUUAGUUUGUCUUUCAAUGUCCUUGCCACUUACGAGACAGAGCCAAUGGAUGGAAGCUAAGCAAAAUCAGAUAGAGUUUUCUGCAGAAUACUGUAUCAUUUGUAUUGACUCGAUUGAACUCAUUCCAAGAGCACAUUGUGGGAACCGAAUUAAAUCAAACCCUAGGUCAAAUAAUUCCUUUCAUUUGGGGAUUAUUUGACCUAAUUGGGAAUUAAUCAACCUAAUUGGGAGUUACUCAAUUUAAUUGGGGAUUACCCAAUUAAAUGGAAUGUUACCUAAUUAGGUUGAGAAUUGAUUUGAUUCCUACCACAAUUCCCAAUUAAAUGAGGAGUUACCUAAUUAAAUUAGGAUUUGAUUUGAUACCUACCACAAUUAGGGAUUUGAUUUACCUUAAUAAAUCAAAUCCCGAAUUAAUCAAAUCAAUUCCAAAUAGGGGAGAAAUAAUUCCCUUCUAUCUACGAAAUUAUUCCUCUGAAACCCUAUACUCCAAGACCAUUAUAAAAAGAAAGCCACACACAAGGGUUGAGGUAUGUCUGAAAUCUCUAUUGGAACUCUGCAGAAAAUUCCUCUCACAAACCCUAGCCACCUCUUCUCUCUCUCUCUCUCUCUCUCUCUCUCUCUCUCUCUCUCUCUCUCUCUCUCUCUCUCUCUCUCUCUCUCUCUCUCUCUCUCUCUCUUUUACAUAAGGCUUUGGCUGCCCGAUUUACACCACAAACAUAUCUCUGUACCCUAUUAGCUAUUGUUUUCUACACGAUUCAAUUGAACUAAUUUAAGCAUCGGAGGGCCUUUGGCCAACACCCCCUGGGUGUGGUCCUCUUAUUUGUUAUAUUUUGUAGGGAGAAAGAGACGGCGAAGAAGAAUGAGGAAUCUUUCUAAUCGAAUAUUCUCGUGGAGAAAUUUGCUCCCACAUACAUUAUAUUAUAUAGCUCAGUAGUAUAGGCUAAGCUCUCUGCUAACAAUUUAACAAACUGUUAACCUUCAAACUAACCAAAGCAUCUGAUAUAGAAUCAAUGAUAUGGCAUAAUCAGGACCAUUCACUUACUGCUAUUAAUAGAGUUGCUUAGAUCAUGCUGUUUUAAUACUUGUAGCCCUCCACACAAGUCAGAAUGAAAUAUUAAUGGAAGGUCUAGCAAUGCAUGGCAAACAUCAUGUAAAAGCAGAACCCGAUCGGAAGGAAGGGUAUUAAAACACGAUUGAAGAAACAAAAAAAAAAAGUUACUCUCCAAACAAAACAUGUGUCAUGAAUUCUACUAAAGUUUCACUGAUAUCUGAGUUCAUGGCUAUCUUUCAAGCUGAAUCAUUCGGCUAUGAUUUGAAUAACGCAUAGUCGAUGAUCUGGAAAAAGUAAAAGUUGUCUGAAAUGGAAGAAUUUCUUAAACACAUGACAAGUAUUGCAAACACAAGCAACGUAAUACAUAACUAAAACAUGACAUGUAACACCCUGACUCCAAAUUUAAUUACCCAUUUAAUUUAUUUAAGUGAAUUUACGAAUUUACCCUUGGGGUAGGGGUAGUAUGGUCAUUUUCUUAUUUGGAAAGAGUUUGGGGCAGUGACUGGUAUUUUUGGGUUGGUCGUAUUGAGAUGAGUCCAUAGACACACUGUAGGCUUGAAUCGGAGUUGUAACGAAGAAACAGCGAUCAAAAUACUUCCAGUGGCAAAACUGUAAAUAUUUCGAAAAGAGUUAGUAAAAAUCAGAUUUUUCACCCUCCUUCUCUCUCCUCACACGCACAGCUCUCUCUCUCUCUCUCUCUCUCUCUCUCUCGCUCGGCCACAGCAAGGGCCGAGACCGGUCCCGAUCGAUUCCUCUCGAAGCCCCAAACCCGAAACACCAGUUUUCCUGGUUGGAAAACCCGAGUUUCGCCGCUGGUUUUGACAGACGGUUCGGCUUGGCUAUACUAUUGUUUAAAAAAAAUUUAAAAAUGGAGAGAAGUAUAGCCGCUCGGCUAUACUGUUUUUGUUUUAAAAAAAAAAGGAAAAAGGGUAUAGCAGCAUGGCUAUACUUUAAAAAUUUAAAAAAAGAAAAAGAAAAAAGUGAACCCUACUAGCGGAUAGGCGGCCACCUGUCUAAAUAAGUAUAGCCGGUCGGCUAUACUAUUUUGUAAGAAAAUCAGAAAAGACCGAGUAUAGCCACUCGGCUAUACUAUUUAUCGAAAAGUCAAUUUUGAAGUAGGUAAAACCUGGGGCCAAUGCAGGGAGCAGCGGUAGUGCCUUUGUAAUGCAACAGCUGCUUUUGCAGUUUCAGAAGUGAUUUACUGCUAAGAAAUCAACAAGAAUCACUUAUUUAUUGAAAAAAUCAGAUUUGAAAACUUAUUUUCAAGAGAUUAUCAGGAUGUGAUUCAAGUGGCCUAUUGAUAUCCACUCAGUUCAUACUCAUGCUUUUCUGAUUUUUACCUUUGCAUUAUCAGGCAAAUACAAAAGCAUACAACUGUUCAAAAUAUCCUCUGUGCACUGUGAACGACUUCUUUCACGGAAACCCUACCUGCCUAAUAUUGCACAUCUCUUUCCUUCACAAAUGGCUUCCUGGAAUUCACAUGUAUUAUCUCAACAAAAAACACUCGUAUUCAUUUCCUUCAAUAAUGCCUCUACGUAAUUAGCAGUGCGAUAUGAAAAUCAUAUCAUUUAGGAAAUUGCAUAUAAGAAAAUAAUAAAUCAAGUUCAUACAUGGUCAAUGGGAAUUCAAUUGUUACAAAUAUGGAAAGUGAUUCACAAACUUUAAUCACAGUAUUGCAAGGAUUCCGAUCUCCUCAUUAGUGUCCUUUUUUUUUUUUUUUUUUUUUUUUUUUUUUUCAGGUGAAUGAAAGCAAACUACUCAGAGUGAUUUAAACAAACCAUCCGAGUCUCACGAACAGCCAACAAAUCGUCCUAAAGUUUUGAAACACUACACACAGGAGCAUAAUCAAACGCACAUAGGGCCAAAUCGAAGUUAUAGCUCAAGUUAGCUAUACAAUCAGCCACCCCAUUCUUCUCUCUGUAAACAUGGAGGACUGAGCAGUUACCAAUCUGUUUUGGAUAAGGAGAACAGCUGCAGCGGAAUCCAUUUCAAUCACAAGGUUCCUAAUACCUUUGUCAAUCACAAGCUGCAACCAAAGAAAAGCCCCCAAACUUCAGCUUUCCAAAUUAAAUUCACUCCUUGGUUAAGUUUAAUUGACAUCUCCUAAUUCAGGGUGUGUACAACAGAAACACAGCUUGAUUUCUUAGGGUGGUUUCUCCAGUGUUACAAAAUACAGAACAGUAGUAGGCUUUGAAAUUGCGAUGACACCUUUGAACUAGAUUCGGUGGGGUGCGCCAGGCCCAUGCAAUAGUGCAACACUUGGGCGAUGCGCGAGAGCCCCAAUAGCAAGCUACUGUGGCGGACCCUCCCCCAAAAGAAAUUAAUUUAAUAUCGUGUGGACCAUUGGUCCACGUAUCAGAUAUUAAACUAAUAAGAACAGAUACUACACUGGAUCUUAGCCAAAAGGCCGAGAAAGGUAUGCUUCUUCUCUUCUCUUCUUUCUUCUUUUAUAGGGCCAUUCACUUCCAUGCUUCCUUGGUGAAGCCGAUGUGGGAUUGUUACAAACAGCUAGAGGGUGCCACGAACGAAGGCUGAGGGAUAAAGAUUUUUUUAAUCGAAUUGUACUAGAAAUUAUGGAAAGAUGCUUGCAGGAACAUCUAACUCAUUCAAUAUUGUAUUAUAGUAUAAAUUAAUAUUAUAGUAUAGAUUUUUUUACAAAAUUCUUCCAUUUCAGACAACUUUUACUUUUUCCAGAUCAUUGACUACGCUUUAUUCAAAUCAUAGCAAAACAAAGAUAGCCAUGAACUCAGAUAUCAGUGAAACUUGAGUAGAAUUCAUUAAACAUGUUUUGUUUAGAGAGUAACUCUUUUUUCUUUUUCUUUUUUUCUUUUGUUUCUUCAAUCCUGUUUUAAUACCCUGCCGAUCGGGUUCUGCUUUUACAGGAUGUUUGCCAUGCAUUGCUAGACCUUCCAUUAAUAUUUCAUUCACUUGUGUGGAGGGCAACAAGUAUUAGAACAGCAUGAUCUAAGCAACUCUAUUAUUAGCAGUAUAUGAAUGGUCCUGAUUAUGCCAUACCAUUGAUGCUAUAUCAGAUGCUUUAGUUAGUCAGAAAGUUAACAGUUUGUUAAAUUGUUAGCAGAGAGCUAAGCCUCUACUGGGCUGUAUAAUAUACUGUGCUCUUGUAAUGAGUUCAAUCGAGUUAAUACAGAUGAUACAGUAUUCUGCAGAAAACUCUAUCUGAUUUUGCUUAGCUUCCAUCCAUUGGCUCUGUCUCGUAAGUCACAAGGACAUUGAAAGACAAACUAAUGGAAAGAAAGACAUUGGAGUGCUGUGAAUCACACAUAUGUAUACCUUAAAAAUCAAAGCAUGUGUUGCUCAAAAACAUGCCUGCUAGUAUUGGGAUUGAAAGAUAUAUAGCAGCCACAAUGCAUUUGCUCAGAUUUUAUUGCCAACCAUCUAAAGAUUACAAACUGCAAGAGCAGUAGGCUUAUUAACUGAACAAUUUUGACAAUGAUGCAACAGGUAAAGACCAAAAGGUAACUUAAACAAUACGAUGGAACAGUACUAAUUUGCAAAAGCAAAUCCACACCCAUAACUUUUUGUUCUCUAAAUUUAAGGAAAAGCCUGAAUAACGGAUGGGACAGCAUGAAUAGGUGUGAUAGUGUGUCGGCUAAAGCCAGCUUCCCCAAGAACAUAACCCCAUUCCUUCAAGGUCCUUUCUUUUCCUGUGUUUGUAUGGGCCAUCAUCACCAUGUCUAGCAUCAAUCUCACAUUUGUUAGUUUGAUGUCCGCUUUUUCAUCUUUUUCAUCGAUAACCGCUUCUACGAUUAUCACCUUCCCUUUAUCUUCCGGAAUAGCUUCCCUGCACUUCUUAAGGAUACGGAUGCACUCAUCAUCGCCCCAGUCGUGAAGAACCCCCUGCAAUUCACGAAAACAGAAUUAGAGUAUCCAUUGUUAUAACACCUUGUCGAGCAAGAAACCUUAUAGCAAGAUAAUCAGGGAGUGAUGGCAGAGGAACCACAUUUUUUCUUAUCCCAUUAGCACAGACAAAUGAUGUAAUAAGUAGACAUUAACAGACAAAUCAAAUGAUGAAACUAAUAGCUCACAGGAUGAAUGAAAAAUAUAAAGAGAUAUUUAGUCAUAUAUCAAUUCUUAGCACUAAUGACAUAGAUAGAGAUUUUCUAUUUAAACCCCACACUUCUCUUUGUUCACCUCAAUACUUAAAUCAUUAAGCUGUAAGUUUUAUUAUUGUGUAAAAAGAAACAUACACCAUUUAAUUACGAUAAACAAACCAAAAAAAAAAAAAAAACCAAAAAAAUGACAAUUGACCCUAUUUAAUUUAAUUUUAAUUAUUAAAUUACUUUGAUGUCCUAUUGAGUAUUUUGAGUUGUUUAUAUAUGAGGUUUUAGGGUUAGGCUUGUUUUAAGAAAUCGAUGACAGCUUUGUAAUUUAUAAGAAAUUAAAGGACUCUUUGUUAUGUUGUAAAUGGGCUUUAAGUGUGUUUCUAAAGUUCAUAUAUGAGUCUUUUUAUAAUUUUAGCACCUAUAUUGGGUAUAAUAUUGAAUCUUCCAAAUAUAAACGGGUUGCUGCUAGCUAUUUUAAGGCGGCUCUUAAUGGUUGAUUUUUCUUGAUUUCUUUCAACUAUAUACAUAUAAUACAUAUAUAUACUAACCUUAAUAAUUACAGCAUCAGCCUUUGGAACACAAUCAAACAUGUCACCUCCAACAUUCUCAAUGCGGUCACACUCCUGAGCAACAGACACAACAUGAGGAAGAUCAAAGUUGAUGCCUUGAAUCCAAGGACAUGCCUCAACCAACAAGCGCAUAGUACUCCCAUCACCCCCGCCCACAUCUACGAUUGUCUCAAUCCCUUUGAACACCUCUAAACGACUUUCAAUCACCGCAGGCACAUGCACCCUUGCAUCACAAGCCAUUGCUUCAUUGAAAAGCUUGUUGUGAUCAGGAUUGGCUGCGCCAAAGCUCCAUAGGUCCUCACCAUGUACUUCCUCAAACACUGGGUUUCUAAUAUUGCCUUGAAUUCGAGCACUUAGGCCAUGCCACGGUGCCAGCAUUACCGGGCUACUCUCCAGCAAAAUUAAAGCAGCCAUGCUGUUUUGUCCAGAUUUCAAUAGCCGUUUAGACAAAGGUGUUUGUGUAUAAACUUCGGGGCCUAAUUGGGUUGCUGGUUUUUCUUUGAAUAUUUUGAGGUGGACUAGGACCCUCAUGAUGCGGUAAAGGGGAGAAGGAUCACAUCUUAGAGCAGAUGAUAGUUCUAGGAGUGUCAUGGGGCUGCCAUGGCUUUCAAUUGCAUCAGCUAUUCCAAGCUGAAUGGCACAUUUUACCACCGCGAUUUCAGCAAACCCGAACACAUAUUUCCAGAUUUGCACUUUGGCAUGUUCUUCUUCUUUCUCUUCUCCUCCUAUCUCUCUUUGUUUAUCUUCCAUCUCUUUCUGUGUGUGUGUCGUAGGCUCUAAGGUAGCAAUAUAUAUAAUUUGCAGGAAGAGAUUGGAGUAUAGUUAUAUGCAGAACAUGUGUUGAACAGUUUAGGUAAUGCAAGGGCAAUCCUACCCUAAGGGCAGGGAAGGCAGCCGCCUACUCUAUUUUUUGCCAAACCAAAAAUUACCCAAUACCCAAUACAAUCAAAUUUCUUCUGCCUACUAAAAACCUAACCCUAAUGUAUCAUUUUGAUUGGGAUUUUACUACUAUCGGACACCCAAUUGAAGGGACUUAUGUGUUUCUUUUUCUCUUUUUUGGGAAUAAGAACGUAUGAUCUGGCUUAUUUUUUUUUUUUUUGGGUAAAGUGGGGGGUAAACAUCCCAGAACAAAAGAAACUAUUCACUCUGGUCUAAACAGACUAAUCUAGCUUUAGGAAUAUCUGAAGUAUCAUCAGCUAAACAAGAACUGACACAACUAUGAGCCGUGUCAAGAAUGAACAAGCCCAAAAUCCAAGUUAUAGCUCUAGUUGGGAAGACAAUCAUCAACUCCAUUCUUCUCUCUAUACACAUGCGUGAGGGUGAAAUUACCAAUUUUUCUCAUCAGUUCACAGCAGCUAUCAACCAAGGCUGCCAAAGGGUGCAAACGAAGCAGAGAAGGCUGCAGGCAAAGCUUCACAGCGAUAGCGCUACCUUUUCAGUUUCUAUUGUUUUGAUUUAUUUUUUUAAAUUAAAUUAAUCAAGAAAAGUGGAAAGUUUGUUAAGUUAAUAAAUAGAAUAAGGCUAAAUCAUGAAAAAUCUUAUUAAAGCAUUAUUUCUCUCCCAUAAUAAUGUCAUCAAACAAAUAAUAAAUAAAUAAUUAACUAUAGUUAAAUUCAUGGACAUGUGUAAUCUUUUGAGAAAAGUGGUGUGGUGAAGGUACAUCUUGGUUAAAGUGGUGAGCAAAAAUGCUCUCAAAAUUGUUGGGAUUACAUCAUGAUAAGAUAUGCCACGUGGAGUAAUCAGAAAUCUAUAGGGCUAAUUAUGUGCCGACACGUGGAUAUCAAAAAUCAAAUUCUCAUAUAAGAGAAGCAAAGGCUGCUUGCAAUUUGGGAAAAAGGUAUGACAAGCUUGGUAUCUGUACUAACUAUUUGUCGUUCCAAAUUUGCUUAACAAGUUCAUCACACUUAUGCAUAAUAACACAAGUGAAAGCACUAUUUUCUUGGUGUUCACUCUUUGUCAUACAAGUUCUUCAUCUAUUUUCUAAACUUGAACAAACCCAUCAGCACAGAUAUUAAUGCCGAACAGAUCUAAUUAGCAAUUUUCAUCACACAAUGAUACAAUACAAGUUUCAAAGAGUGGCUUAUUUGUCAGUUCAUCAUUUAAUUCCUCUAAAUUCACAAAAUUUAAAUCCUCCUAAGCGCUUGACAUUAGCUCACGUAAUAAGGGUGAGUGAGAAAAUGAUUUAAGAUUAUGAUAUGUAAAUAGUUUGCUACUUUCUCAUUGUAGCACAAGAAUUUAAGGCGAUAUUUGUUACUUGAGAAAGAGACUGAAUCCAAACUUUUUGGAUGUUGAGGGUGACCAAUGUUAACCAAUGGAAAGAGGGAAAUUUGCCUCCAAAACCCAGGUUGGAAAGAGGGAAAUAAACUUGGCAAUCAAAUGUUCAAUAUCUUGGGACCAUAUUUAUAGGGCCUUACUCGGAAGAGAGAGCCCUUCCAGAAAUUCUCAAGGGCACAUGGCUGAACCAAGGCCCAAGAGGGGGUUUGGAAAUAGUUUUCAACCAGCAAUAGACGCGCCUCGGUUAGAACCUCAUAAGCUGCGUCAUUGCCCCAAGCGCAAAGAUACUUCAAUCAUCGGCUUCCGCUCACUUUUAUCCCACUACAGCAACUCAGCCUUUUCUGCUCUAUCCAUAUGGGACUACAACUUCUUCUUUUACAAUUGAUAAUUACAGCAUCGGCCUUUGGAAUACAAUCAAACAUGUCACCUCCAACAUUAUCAAUCGAUUGCACUCCUGAGCAUUUUUUUCUAGUAAAAUAUACUCGGUUUUAUUAAUAUUUCUCUCCAUUUUUUUUCUAAUUUGUUUUGCAGUUGCUUCUCACUCACCCUUAUUGAGCUACUUCGAAGCUUGUAUUGUGUCAUUGUGUGAUGAAAAGUGCUAAUUGGAUUUGUUCGGCAUUAAUAUUGGUGCUGAUGGGUUUGUUCAACUUUAGAAAAUAGAUGAAGAAUUUGUAUGACAAAGAGUGAACACGAAGAAAAUAGUGCUUUCACUUGUGUUAUUAUAUAGUAUAAGUGUGAUGAACUUGUUAAGCAAAUUUGGAACGACAAAUAGUUUGAGUAAUUUUUGGUUGUAUUGGAUAUUGGGUAAUUUUUGGUUUGGCAAAAAAUGGAGUAGGCGGCUGCCUACCCUACCCUUAGGGUAGGACCGCGCCUAGUGGGUUGGGUUUGAGUAGGCAGAAUAAUUUGGUUGUAUUGGGUAUUGGAUAAUUUUUGGUUCGGCAAAAAAUGGAAUACGCAGCUGCCUUCCCUGCCCUUAGGGUAGGACCACUCCUGCAUUACCUAAAUUGUUCAACACAUGUUCUGCAUCUACCUAUACUCCAAUCUCUUCCUGCAAAUUAUAUGUUGCUACCUUAGAGCCUACGACACACACAGAAAAAGAGAUGGAAGAUAAACAAAGAGAGUUAGGAGGAGAAGAGAAAGAAGAAGAACAUGCCAAACUGGAAAUCUGGAAAUAUGUGUUCGGGUUGUGAGAAAACUAGAAUUGUAUUCUCAUUUCAUUUAAACAAUAAUGAUUACAUUGAAUUGUUUAUAUACACUUGAAAUAAGAUAGCUGUACAAAUGACAGCUGUACAGUUUGUUAAAGCAAAGCUAAACAGAAAUUAACAACUUUGUGAUGAACGGCUAGCAUUAGAUGAUGAACGACUAGGAUUAGAUGUGGAGAUAUCUCUAUCAGCCCCCCUCAAGCUGAAGGUAGUGUCACAAACGGAAAGCUUGGAUCGAAGAUACACAAAACGAGAGGAAGAUAGAGACUUUGUAAAAAUAUCAGCAAGUUGAUUAGAAGAACAAACAUAGUGAAGUCUAAGAGAACCAUUUUGCACCAGUUCUCAUGUGAAGUGAUAAUCAACUUCCACGUGUUUGGUCCUGGCAUGAAACACAGGAUUAGAAGCCAAAGAAAUAGCAGAUUGAUUAUCCACUCAGAGAAGAGGAGGAGUGCCUAGAAAAAACCCAAUGUCUUUAAACAAUUUAGCUAGAUAAACCAAUUCAGCAGCAGCUAAGGCACACUCCGACAUGUGUCAUUGAGCUUGGAAUAGCUGAUGCAAUUGAAAGCCAUGGCAGCCCCAUGACAAUCCUGGAGCUAUCAUCUGCUCUAAGAUGUGAUCCUUCUCCCCUUUACCGCAUCAUAAGGGUCCUAGUCCACCUCAAAAUAUUCAAAGAAAAACCAGCAACCCAAUUAGGCCCCAAAAGUUUAUGCACAACACCUUUGUCCAAACGGCUAUUGAAAUCCGGCCAAAACAGCAUGGCUGCCUUAAUUUUGUUAGAGAGUAACCCGGUAUAGCCGGGCGGCUUUAAAAAAAUUAAGGAAACAAUCCGGUAUCCUGUUUAAAUAAGUACAGCCAAUCGGCUAUACUAUUUUUUAAGAAAAUAAAAAAAGACCGAUUAUAGCCUCGCGGCUAGACUAUUUAUCGACCGGUCCAUUUUGAAUUAGGUAAGAGCUGGGGCCAAUGCAUGGAGUAGCGGUAGUGCCUUUGUAACGCAACAGCUGCUUUUGCAGUUUCAAAAGUGGUUUACUGUUAAGAAAUCAACAAGAAUAACUUAUUUAUUGAAAAAAUCAGAUUUGAAAACUUAUUUUCAAGAGAUUAUCAUAAGAUCCAUCAGAUGUGAUUCAAGUGGAAAUUAAUUGCUUUAUAAAAGGCCUAGUUAUGGCUUACUGAUAUCCACUCUGAUUUUUACCUUUGCAAUAUCAGGCAAACACAAAAGCAUACAGCUGUUCAAAAUAUCCUCUAUGCACUGUGCGUUGAUGAUAAGGUGGAUCCUGGAAACUAAACUCAUCAUGGCAACUUGUGAGAACAACUUCUUUCACGGAAACCCUACCUGCCUAAUAUUGCACAUCUUUCCCUUCAAUAAUGCCUCUAUGGAAUUAGCAGUGCGAUAUCAAAAUCAAAUAAUUUAGAAAAUUGCAUAUAAGAAAAUAACAAUACUAUAUUAUGGGCCAUCAUCAAGAACAUAUACCCAUUCCUUCAAGGUCCUUUCUUUUCCUGUGUUAGUAUGGGCCAUCAUCACCAUGUCUAGCAUCAAUCUCACAUUUGUUAGCUUGCUGUCCUCUUUCUCAUCUUCUUCAUCGAUAACUGCUUCUAUGAUUAUAACCUUCCCUUUGUCCUCAGGAAUAGCUUCCCUGCACUUCUUAAGGAUACGGAUGCACUCAUCAUCUUCCCAGUCAUGAAGAACCCACUGCAAUUCACGAAAACAAAAUCAGAGUAUCCUUUGUCAUACGUGUUGUUGAUUGAGCAAAAAAAAACUUAUAGCAGAUAAUCAGGGAGCGAUGGCAGAGGAACCGCACAUUUUCUUACCACAUUAUCGCAGACAAAUGAUGUAAUAGGUGGUAGACAUUAACAGACAAAUCAAAUUAUGAAACUAAUAAGUCACAGGAUGAAUGAAAAAUAUAAAGAUGUAUUGCUCACUUGCUGCUUGCUAUUUUAAGGCUACUCAUCUUUAAAUGGUUUAAUUUUCUCUAUUUCCUUUAACUAUAUAUAUACUGACCUUAAUAAUUACAACAUCAGCCUUUGGAACAUAAUCAAACAUGUCACCUCCAACAUUCUCAAUGCGGUCAUACUCCUGAGCAACAGACACAACAUGAGGAAGAUCAGAGUUGAUGCCUCAGAUCCAAGGGCAUGCCUCAACCAACAAGCGCAAAGCAGUUCCAUUACCCGCGCCCACGUCUACUAUUGUGUGAAGCCCUUUGAACACCUCUAUACUAUUGACGUGAGUCUCCUAAUUAAUCAAGGAGAUUUACUUCCUUGAUUAAUUAAGGGAUUUACUUUCCUAUUUUUAUAUAGUUGAUAAAUCAUUGUAUAAUUAAGAGAUACUUUCCUAAUUCUUUACUGUAUCUAAUUCCUUGUAUAGCACAUGUAAACUCUUAUAUAUACCUCAUCAUGGAGAAGAAUAAAGAUAACCUACUACAUUCAAACAAUAUUCAUAUUUUAGCAUGGUAUCAGAGCCUGGUUGGAAGGUUGAUAUAUUUAGCUCACACAAGACCAGAUAUUGCAUAUGUUGUGAGUGUGGUUAGUCAGUUUAUGCAUUCACCCAGUGUGUCUCAUAGGAAUGCAGUUAAUCAGAUCUUAAGAUACUUAAAGUCAGCACCCAGGGAAGGGUUAACGUUCUCCAAAAAUAGAGAUCUCGAAGUUGUUGAAUAUACAGAUGCUGAUUGGGCUGGCUCCGUUACUGAUAGACGCUCUACUUCAGGUUACUUCACUUUUGUGGGAGGUAACCUAGUCACUUGGCGGAGUAAGAAACAAAAUGUAGUUUCUCCAACUAGUGCUGAAGCAGAGUAUCGAGGAAUGGCUCAAGGAUUUGUGAAUUACUAUAGAUAAGAAGACUAUUGACAGAAUUGGGGUUCAAGCCAUAAAAGCCAAUGGAGUUACAUUGUGAUAACAAGUCAGCCAUCGAUAUUGCCCAUAAUCCAGUUCAACAUGAUUAAACUAAACAUGUUGAGGUGGAUAGACAUUUUAUCAAAGAAAAACUUGAGAAGAAGAUCAUCCACCUACUAUUCGUAAAAUCAGAAGAUCAGUUGACAGAUAUCUUAAUCAAAGCUGUUUGUAGAAGAGUAUUUUAUGACUCACUUACCAAGUUGGACAUUGGUGACAUAUAUGCACCAACUUGAGGAGGAGUGUUGAAGUGAGUCUCCUAAUUAAUCAAGGAGAUUUACUUCCUUGAUUAAUUAAGGGAUUUACUUUCCUAUUUUUAUAUAAUUGAUAAAUCAUUGUAUAAUUAUGAGAUAUUUUCCUAAUUCUUUACUGUAUCUAAUUCCUUGUAUAGCACAUGUAAACUCUUAUAUAUACCUCUUUAUGGAGAAGAAUAAAGAUAACCUAAUACAUUCAAACCAUAUUCAUAUUUUAGCAUAUACAACUUUCAAUCACUGCAGGCACAACCACCCUUGCAUCACAAGCCAUUGCUUCAUUGAAAAGCUUGCUAUGAUCAGGAUUGGCUGCGCCAAAGCUCCACAGGUCCUCACCAUAUACUUCCUCAAACACUGGAUUUCUAAUAUUACCUUGGACACAGGUCCUCACCAUGUACUUCCUCAAACACUGGAUUUCUAAUAUUACCUUGGAUUCGGGCACUGAGGCCAUGCCACGGUGCUAGCAUUACCGGGCUACUCUCUGGCAAAAUGAAAGCAGCCAUGUUGUUUUGUCCGGAUUUCAAUAGCCGUUUGCACAAAGGUGUUUGUGCAUAAACUUUGCGGCCUCAUUGGGUUGCUGGUUUUUCUUUGAAUAUUUUGAGGUGGACUAGGACCCUCAUGAUGCGGUAAAGGGGAGAAGGAUCACAUCUUAUGAUAGCUCUUGGAGUGUCAUAGGGCUGCCAUGGCUUUCAAUUGCAUCAGCUAUUCCAAGCUCAAUGCCACAUUUAACCACUUGCGAGUUCAACAAACCCGAACAUAUAUUUCCAGAUUUCCACUUUGGAAUGUUCUUCUUCUUCCUUUUCUCCUCCUAACUCUCUUUGUUUAACUUCCAUCUCUUUGUGUGUGUGUUGUGCCGUAGGCUCUAAGGUAGCAAUAUAUAUAUAAUUUGCAAGAAGAGAUUGGUGUAACACCCCGACUCCAAAUUAAACCCCUUAUUUAAAUUGUUUAAAUUAUUUAAGGGAAAUUACAAAUUUACCCUUGAGAUAGGGAUAUUUUGGUCAAUUUCUUACUCGGAGCGAGUUUGGGGCAGUGACUAGUAUUUUUGGAUAGGUCGUACUGAGAUGAGUUCGUAGACACGUAGUGGGCUCGAAUCGGAGUUGUAACGAGAGAGAUAUGGUCAAAAGAAUCCCAGUGGCACAAUCGUAAUUAUUUUGAAAUGAGAUUUUUAUAAAAAAUCAGAUUCUUCUCUCUCUCUCGCUCCCGCGUGCUCUCUCUCUCCCCGUCGGUCCCUCUCUCUCUCCUUGAAUCUCCGGCCACCGGCCACGGCUGAGGACGGGACUGGUGCCAAAAGGACCGGUUCGGCCUCGGCGUCACGACCCGGCCCUCCCCCGACAUCGGCCGCCUCUCCAACCGCCGAAAAAAGGCGAUUUUUGUCCGGUUUUCCCUCGAACUUCGCUGGCUCUGAUCUCCUUCCUCCGGCGGCCAUUUUUGGCAAUCAGGGUAUGAAAAUUCAUCCCUUCUUCAUGUUCUAGCUGCCUGUUGGGUAGAUUGGAUCGAUUCUUAGCGUAGGCAAUUCGAUUUUUGAAUUGAAAUUUGGCUAGUCUUGGGAUCGCGAUUUCGGCCACUUCCGGUCAGUUUUUGGGGUAGGUCAAAAGUGGUUCCAAAUAUGGUGUUAUACCUAGGGUAGGAGUUUGGAGCAGUGGUUUUGAGAUUUUCUGGCGAUGCGUAAUCGCUUUGGGCACCCAGCUUUGCCGGCGCAUGGGCGAGGGUAGUGAAGUUGCACUGUGUCUCGAUGAGAUCCUUAGGUUGUCACAAGUGCGUAGGAUUUCGCGGAUCUCAAUUCGGACGUCGUUUGACUAUCGAACGGAUAUCGCCUAUUGCGUGUUAUCCGGGUUCGAUAGGUUAGGACCGUUGGAUGAUCUUAAAUUUAAUAUAUGUUAAUCUAGGUAUUUCUAGGAUCGUGUAGAAUUUCAUGGAUUGUGAAUCGGAGCCCCGAAUGUUCCGAUUUAUAAAUAUAAAGUUUACGUUUUAUAAUAAUCGUCAGAUCGUGCGAUCGUGAGCGAUUCGACCGUCCGAUCUGGACCAAACUUGCACGACGAGUGUCCUAUACCUUGUAGAACCCAUAGGAACUUUCGGAUCGGAAUUUGGAGGUCGUGUGCCCCGUAGGCCCGUUUGACCAGGGUUAGGGUAGUUUGACCCUUAGUUGACCGUGAGUCUCUUGAAGUAAUCUCACCUUCCCAGGGGGAUUAUCGGGUGCUAGACUAUGGUUGAGGUUUACACAAUAUUUGAAGUAAAUUAUAUACUUAUAUAUGUUUGUAAAGGUAUAAAAGGAGUCUAGAAUGUUAGUUUGAAGUGCUAUACGCACUACCUUAGGUACCAUCCCGGAUUUUUGGUCACACUACAAGUACCACCCUGUGAAAGUUAGGUCCCACGUGGCCUAGGUUAUCCGGCGUGCGGACAGACCCCAUACGUGGCGUUGGUUGUACCGCGUAUGGGGAGAUUAUGUGAUAAUAUGUUGAGGUCGCACAUGGCGUAGGUUAUCCGGCGUGUCGACAGACCCCAUACGUGGCGUUGGUUGUACCGGCAUAUAGGGAGAUAUGUGAUAUGAUGUGCAGGUCUCAUGUGGCAUAGGUUAUCCGGCGUUGAGACAAACCCCAUAUGUGGCGUUGGUUGUACCGGCGUAUGGGGAGAUUAUGUGAUAUUAUGUUGAGGUCGCGCGUGGUGUAGGUUAUCCGGCGUGUCGACAGACCCCAUACGUGGCGUUGGUUGUACCAGCGUAUGGGGAGAUAUGUGAUAUGAUGUGCAGGUCUCGCGUGACGUAGGUUAUCCGGCAUUGAGACAUGCCUCAUACGUGGCAUUGGUUGUACUGGCGUAUGAGGAGAUAUUGUGAUAGUAUGGUAUGGUCACACGUGGCGUAGGUUAUUCGGCGUGUUGAUAGGCCCCAUACGUGGCGUUGGUAGUACAUGCGUAUGAGGAGAUUAUGUGAANNNNNNNNNNNNNNNNNNNNNNNNNNNNNNNNNNNNNNNNNNNNNNNNNNNNNNNNNNNNNNNNNNNNNNNNNNNNNNNNNNNNNNNNNNNNNNNNNNNNNNNNNNNNNNNNNNNNNNNNNNNNNNNNNNNNNNNNNNNNNNNNNNNNNNNNNNNNNNNNNNNNNNNNNNNNNNNNNNNNNNNNNNNNNNNNNNNNNNNNNNNNNNNNNNNNNNNNNNNNNNNNNNNNNNNNNNNNNNNNNNNNNNNNNNNNNNNNNNNNNNNNNNNNNNNNNNNNNNNNNNNNNNNNNNNNNNNNNNNNNNNNNNNNNNNNNNNNNNNNNNNNNNNNNNNNNNNNNNNNNNNNNNNNNNNNNNNNNNNNNNNNNNNNNNNNNNNNNNNNNNNNNNNNNNNNNNNNNNNNNNNNNNNNNNNNNNNNNNNNNNNNNNNNNNNNNNNNNNNNNNNNNNNNNNNNNNNNNNNNNNNNNNNNNNNNNNNNNNNNNNNNNNNNNNNNNNNNNNNNNNNNNNNNNNNNNNNNNNNNNNNNNNNNNNNNNNNNNNNNNNNNNNNNNNNNNNNNNNNNNNNNNNNNNNNNNNNNNNNNNNNNNNNNNNNNNNNNNNNNNNNNNNNNNNNNNNNNNNNNNNNNNNNNNNNNNNNNNNNNNNNNNNNNNNNNNNNNNNNNNNNNNNNNNNNNNNNNNNNNNNNNNNNNNNNNNNNNNNNNNNNNNNNNNNNNNNNNNNNNNNNNNNNNNNNNNNNNNNNNNNNNNNNNNNNNNNNNNNNNNNNNNNNNNNNNNNNNNNNNNNNNNNNNNNNNNNNNNNNNNNNNNNNNNNNNNNNNNNNNNNNNNNNNNNNNNNNNNNNNNNNNNNNNNNNNNNNNNNNNNNNNNNNNNNNNNNNNNNNNNNNNNNNNNNNNNNNNNNNNNNNNNNNNNNNNNNNNNNNNNNNNNNNNNNNNNNNNNNNNNNNNNNNNNNNNNNNNNNNNNNNNNNNNNNNNNNNNNNNNNNNNNNNNNNNNNNNNNNNNNNNNNNNNNNNNNNNNNNNNNNNNNNNNNNNNNNNNNNNNNNNNNNNNNNNNNNNNNNNNNNNNNNNNNNNNNNNNNNNNNNNNNNNNNNNNNNNNNNNNNNNNNNNNNNNNNNNNNNNNNNNNNNNNNNNNNNNNNNNNNNNNNNNNNNNNNNNNNNNNNNNNNNNNNNNNNNNNNNNNNNNNNNNNNNNNNNNNNNNNNNNNNNNNNNNNNNNNNNNNNNNNNNNNNNNNNNNNNNNNNNNNNNNNNNNNNNNNNNNNNNNNNNNNNNNNNNNNNNNNNNNNNNNNNNNNNNNNNNNNNNNNNNNNNNNNNNNNNNNNNNNNNNNNNNNNNNNNNNNNNNNNNNNNNNNNNNNNNNNNNNNNNNNNNNNNNNNNNNNNNNNNNNNNNNNNNNNNNNNNNNNNNNNNNNNNNNNNNNNNNNNNNNNNNNNNNNNNNNNNNNNNNNNNNNNNNNNNNNNNNNNNNNNNNNNNNNNNNNNNNNNNNNNNNNNNNNNNNNNNNNNNNNNNNNNNNNNNNNNNNNNNNNNNNNNNNNNNNNNNNNNNNNNNNNNNNNNNNNNNNNNNNNNNNNNNNNNNNNNNNNNNNNNNNNNNNNNNNNNNNNNNNNNNNNNNNNNNNNNNNNNNNNNNNNNNNNNNNNNNNNNNNNNNNNNNNNNNNNNNNNNNNNNNNNNNNNNNNNNNNNNNNNNNNNNNNNNNNNNNNNNNNNNNNNNNNNNNNNNNNNNNNNNNNNNNNNNNNNNNNNNNNNNNNNNNNNNNNNNNNNNNNNNNNNNNNNNNNNNNNNNNNNNNNNNNNNNNNNNNNNNNNNNNNNNNNNNNNNNNNNNNNNNNNNNNNNNNNNNNNNNNNNNNNNNNNNNNNNNAUAUGUGAUAGUAUGGUUAUGCUCCACACAUUGGCGUAGGUUAUCUGGCGUGUGAUAGCCCCCCAUACGUGGCCGUUGGUAGUACCAUGCGUAUGAGGAGAUUAUGUGAAAUACAGAGAAAAUGAAAUUAAGUUUAUCGCUUAUGUGUGGAAUUAGGUUUUAUGGAAGAAACUACGUGUGGCUUGAAUCCCUCAGGGAGGGGUACGUAGGCAGCCAAAGGUUACUAGGUGCAGCCGCAGACUAAAUGUUUAGUCAUAUUGUUAUAUGGAGAUUAGUUCGGACCUUGUUGUUGGUCCUGAAAUUGAGGUGAAAAUGUGAUUGUGUUAGGAGGCUAAAACCUCAUAUAUUGAAAUGUGAAAGGUUAAAUGAUGCAUGCUGAAAUUUAAUAGUCAUAAUUUAUAUUUGAAUUUAUCGUUUGCCUUGCUUAAGGUAUGAAUUGAUUUGUUAGCAUACUUGGUAGUUGAGAAUUAUUGGAAAGCCGAAGGCUGUUUAUGUGAAUUGCAUGAAAUUAUAUUGUGCAUGCUGCCAAUUGUGAAUAUUAAAUUGUGUUUUAUGCAGGUUGUAAUUUUAGGAAAUGUUCAAUUUAUAGGGGAGACUCUGCUGAAAUUUCGGCAGAAAGUCUCGGUCUUUAGUAAGUAGGCCCAGCAUAAGGGUGAUGUCGGGAAUUCCACAGAAUUCACCUUGGAUUUUGAGAAAUUCGGAGCAGGUCUUUUUAAUUGGAGUUGAAAUCUUUAGUUACACGCAACAUGUGUUGAACAAUUUUGGUAAUGCAUCAUUUUCAUUGGGAUUUUUUCCAGAUUCAACCACUCAAUUUUAAAUGUAUUUUCAUGUAAUGGUAGACAUCUUUUGCCCAAUUGGCUGGAAGGAUUUUGUCUUGUAUACAAAAUUCUUUCUUUGCCAAAGUAUUUAUCAAAAAGUUUAUAGCAACUCAUCAAAUUAUCUUAUUAAGCUAUAUAUCUGAUUUAUUAUGAUUUUAAAGUUCCCAAAAUACCCCUAUUUACAAUUGAGCGUGUAAGAGGCUGGUGUUUGAAGUUUUGGACCCUCUUUUUAUUGUAGUGAUCCUCUCCAUAAUUUGUGUAUGCAAUUAAUUAUCUAUUUUGAUUAUGGGGUUAAUUUUCUUAAUCCUACGUUUUGAUUAUGGUUUUAGUUUGGAGAUUGGUGUUCUGAUUAGGGUUCCUAAAGGUGGAAAUUUGGUUGAAGUUCAAGAAAUUCCAGGUAUUGAAAUUCCAUUUGAAAAUUCCGGAGCAUUCGACACUGACUAGCAAGCGUGAGUGAUCUGCCAUCAAAUUGCAGGUAAAAAACGUCUUUCUCUUCUAUGUACAUGGAGCCCCGUUCAUUGUUAGUCCUAACCAGAGCAAAAUUGGGUAUCUGGGUAUUAGUAUAUACCUACACGAAAAAGAUGGGUUUGAUUUUUGGUUUUUUAAAACCUGGUUAUAGACCUACAGCAUACAAACUAGAGCAAAACCAGAGCAAACCUGGGUAUCUGGGUAUUAGUUUACAUACACGAAAAUAGAUGGGUUUGAUUUUUGCUGUUUUUAAAUCUGGUUUGAUUUUUGCUUUUUUUGAUAACCUGAUAACAGGUUCUGGGGGGAGAUGAUCCUGUUUUUUUAGAAUCAAUUUUUAAGUUAUAGUGAUUGUUAGUUAUAUCCUGCUAGCACAGAAAAUCACCAUCGGCACACCAUGUAGGUAAAUACUGGAUUAUGUACCUACCAGACAGCUUAUAUACCCGAUACCCAAUUUUUGCUCCUGGUUAAGGUUUAUACUUUUGUAUAGGGAUUGUUAGUUUUACCCUACCAGAAUAUACUGGGGGAGUUUUGGUUUAAUAUCGAUUGUCAUCAAAGGAGUUUUUUGCUUCUGUAUCUUUGUGCGUUUUACAAUAAGCUUUGCUAUAUAUAUGAUAACGUUUUUUUUUUCCUAUAUAUUUUUUGAGAUACUCCCGUAACUCAUAACAAUUGUGUUCUUUUUCUUUUUUAGUUGGUUAGGUAAAUUAUUCUCAUCAUUUUUAUUCUACCUAUCCAACAAACAAUGAUUUUUCUUUGCAUGUAAUAAUCUUGGAUACUUGGGUAGGUACAUUAAUGUUCUUGUGUUCUAAUAUAUGUUCAAGAUCCAAUGAGCUUGAGGUUGGGGCAUUUGAGAUGACUUACCUCGUGCCGGAUCAUCCUCCAUGUGUACUAGAGACCGACUUAGAUGUGCGUGUAAUGUAUCUGUCCUUGAUGAAUGAGAAGAAAUAUACAGUUACAAUUGCUAUUAAGGAGUUUUUAUUUCCUGAGAAGCAAAACGGUGUUGAUGAUAUGUUUUGUGGUGAUGGUAAUACGCAUAAUUGGGAAAUAUGCAGCACCUUCUGGUCAUACAUACUUGUCUCAUUCUUGGAAGAACUACAUCAAUUAUGUGGGUCAGAAUAGUGAUUGUUGUACAUGAUCCUGUUUUUUUUUUGGUUUUUUAUUUUUAUACUUCUGUAUAGUGAUUGUUAGUUGGAUGGUUAAAUUGUUGGUAGGCAAACUAGUUCACCCCAUCGUGCCUAUUGUGAGAAAGCAUGUGCACCACACUGAGAAAAAAGUGAAUGGCAGGUACCCUGCUCAUUUUUAGGUCUCUCCCAUGCUUCAUAGUGUACCUGGUUUUGGGUUUUAUUUUUGCUGUUUUUAAACCUGGUUUGAUCUUUAGUUGUGAUCCUGAUAACAGGAUCUGUUGUACAUGAUCCUGUUUUUUUUUAAGAAUCAUGAUGUUAGUUUUAUACUUUUGUAUAGUGAUUGUUAGUUGGAUGGUUAAAUUGUUGGUAGGCAAACUAGUUCACCUGAUCGUGCCUAUGGUGAGAAAGCAUGUGCACCACACUUAGAAAAAAGUGAAUGGCAGGUACCCUGCCCAUUUUUAGGUCUCUCCCAUGCUUCAUAGUGUACUCCAAAAAGAAGGAUAAAUUCCUCCUUUAUCGCCUAUGGUUGACAAUAGUUUACAGACAAAACAAAUGACAUCCACCAGGUACACCAUCAAAAAUGGAUUCCAAAUUGCAUAAACCCCCUUUUUUUACUACACCUUUGGUAAGACCCUUGCAACAAGUACGAUAUCAGCAAAUUCCAAGCAGGUGCAAAAAGUAGAAUUGGAUUGAAUAACUAGUCUGGAGAAACAUUGGUGCACUGUUGAGACAACAUGAUUUGCAUUUGCAAAAUGACAUGGUAGUAGAUACACUGUUCAUCUCCCCCACACCCCCCCCCCCCCCAAAAAAAAAAACUCUAAUUCUUACAAUGCUUGGUCAGAAAGCUUCUGAAUCAUAAACUAAAACAAAACGUAAAAACAUUUUUGUCCAACAUAAUAUCGCAUUCCAGAAAUGUAACAAAUGCCAACACACAUGCAUGUGAUAACCCCCGGGGAGUUUUAAUGUCAUCUGCAACAUAUCAUUCAUCUUUUAAACUUUUUCCAUCAUGAAGAAAUUUGUUGAUGACUUUUGGACGAUAUUCCUUCAUUGUGUUCUCUGUAAAACAAGGUGCCAUGUUCUGACACUUCGAGAUAGUUGAGACAUAGUACAUCACAGCGACCCCACAGUCGACGGUAGAAAACCCAAAAAAAGAAAAAGGAAAAAGAAUAGUUUGAUCAGGUGCAUACAAAAAGAAUCAGUUUUUCUUUUCCUCAUCCAGUUUUGAUCACACCUAUUCUGUACCUACUUCAAAAAAAUAUUGUGCCCAAUGGAAAUCUACAGUUCAAAGGAAAUUAACCGCAUUACUUACGAGUCAUCCAUUUGUUGUGGGCAAUUAGUCGAUCGCCAUAAAGGAUAGUUAACAUCAGUAGCUUUCAGCCAUUGAAACGUUUGUUUCUCACCAUUGAAACAUUCAAUCACAUGAUUCCAACUAACAAUCACUAUACAAAAGUAUAAAACUUAAAAAUUGAUUCUAAAAAAAACUGGAUCAUGUACAACAGAACAUGUUAUUAGGUUAUCAAAAGCAAUAUAUAUUAUAUGACCAAACUGUUUUGUUGAUCCACACCAAAUUUGGAACACAAUUUACCUCCAAUUAACACACAUGGAGUCAACUGUUAUCAAUAUACAAGAUUUUCUCAAAAUUAUAUAGGCUAAAAAAAACCCAUCUAUUUGGUGUAGGCAAACUAAUACCCAGAUACCUUGUUCAUGUAGGUAAACUAAAAUACUCCAGAAUUUCGUGUUGGUACAUAACCAUCACAACAAGAAAGGAGAAAAAUCUACAUAAUGAGAUAUAGAAUGAUAAAUCUGAAAUUUGAAAGUAAUCAUACUCGUUACGUAAUGCUCAUCUUAAACCCUUUUAUGAAGGGCCUACUCUACUUGUAUAGAUUAUGGAGCACCUCUAGAAUUAAUAACAUCUCCAAGUGUUAUCAGCUGGCUAAGAAGCUAGCUAGGAUACCUGUAAUCAGGUUUUGUUGGGACAUUCAGAAAAAAUGUUUUGGCUAAUGCCCCUCCCUCCAUCAAAGCAAAUGGAGUCAGGUUCAGUCUAGGACUAACUUCUCCUACAGCCCAGGUUGGACGAACUGAUGUACGAGAAAAUUCAUCAACCUGAGAAACAAAACCCUCUCAAAAGCAUUCAGAACUCUGUAUUAAUUGCCCAGGUUUUUGUCGUUUUACUAUGAAAGCAUCUAACAAAGAAAAGGAAAAAAAAUCAACACCAGAAUUUCGUGUAGGUACAUAACCAUCACAAUAGUAUACAAGAGUAUCUCAAAAAAUGAUAACCAAAACCACACUGGGACUUUCAUCAAACACGUUGUGUGCGCCAAAAACUAACAAACUAAGAGUGUGAUCAAUAUGGCACAAAUCACAAAACAAUUUCACAAAAGGAGCAAAAAUACAUAACCAGAUUCCCAAUAGGCUGUUGGUACAUAAACAGGUUUUAAAAAAACAAAAAUCAAGACCAGAAUUUGGUGUAGGUACAUAACCACUCUUCCUCUGGUUUUGCUCUGGUUAGUACUACCAAUCGAUGGGGGCUCCAUGUACGUGCAAGAGAGAGACUUUUUUUACCUGCUAUUUGACGGCAGACCACUCACGCUUGCUAGUCAGUGUCGAAUGCUCUGGAAUCGAAUGCUUCGGUCGUUCUCGUAUUCUCUUUACAACUGGGCUGAUGAAAGGAAUGCGCCUGGGAACCCAGAUUUUGAAAGACAUUAGAGGGUUUGGGGGAAUCUAAUGUUGGAGAAUCUGUGGUUUCAAUGGAGGGAAUCGAUCAAGGCUGAAAUGGUGGUAAACUGAAAAGUUUUGAAACGGUAGUUGUAAGUUUUUAGUAAACGGUCAGAUAGAUAGUUUAGAUGCGUUGUUUACCUACAAUGGCAACUAAUGUAAAUAAAUACAAUAUUAUGACCUCUUUCUUCUUAGGGGGCAUUACAAUUUGAAUUUGGGUUUUCAACGUAGUUAUAUAGAUAGAUGGGUUUGUGUCUAGGGGAUAUCAGCUGUAUGGGCUUAUAUUGGAGUCUCUCAAAAGUUUACUACGCAGUAGACAAACAUGGUAAGCAUGCAUUGUUCAGCCGUAGCUAGUGGCACAUUAUCAUAAGAAUAAGAUACAUAUGUUUUAGUUAUGAAUCUUGUUUUUUUGUUGUGAGCAUAACUUUUCUCUUUCCAAUUGUGUUUUGAUACUCUUCUAAUACUAUGUAUUAGAAUGUGAGUAUCCAACCCGAAAUCAAUUGACAAUGGAUGGAGAGACCCAAAAUCUUUAUACCAUUUGACAAGGCUUUAAUUCUCCAAUGUGAGAUUCACACUCUCAAUCAACACAUACAACCUUUACCUACACACAAAUCGGGGGAACAACUAUUGAGCUAUAUGAAUUGAAUUGAAUCAAUACAGAUGAUACAGUAUUCUGCAGAAAACUCUAUCUGAUUUUGCUUAGCUUCCAUCCAUUGGCUCUGUCUCACAAGUCGUAAGGACAUUGAAAGACAAACUAAUGGAAAGAAAGACAUUGGAGGGCUGUGAAUCACAUACAUGUAUACCUUAAAAAUCAAAGCAUGUGUUGCUCAAAAACAUGCCUACUAGUAUUCAGAUAGAAAGAUAUAUAGCAGCCACAAUGCAUUUGCUCAGAUUUUAUUGCCAACCAUCUAAAGAUUACAAACUGCAAGAGCAGUAGGCUUAUUAAAUCAACAGAUAAAGACCAAAAGGUAACUUAAAACACUACAAUGAAACAGUACUCAUUUGCAAAAACAAAUCCACAUCCAUAACUUUUUGUUCUCUAAAUUUAAGGAAAAGCCUGAAUAACGGAACAGACAGCAUGAAUAGGUGUGAUAGUGUGUCGGCUGAAGCCAGCUUCCUCAAGAACAUAUUCCCAUUCCUUCAAGGUCCUUUCUUUUCCUGUGUUUGUAUAGGCCAUCAUCACCAUGUCUAGCAUCAAUCUCACAUUUGUUAGUUUGAUGUCCUCUUUCUCAUCUUUUUCAUCGAUAACCGCUUCUACGAUUAUCACCUUCCCUUUAUCUUCCGCAAUAGCUUCCCUGCACUUCUUAAGGAUACGGAUGCACUCGUCAUCGCCCCAGUCUUGAAGAACCGACUGCAAUUCACAGAGUAUCUAUUGUCAAAACGCCUUGUUGAGCAAGAAAACUUAUAGCAAGAUAAUCAGGGAGUGAUGGCAGAGGAACCACAUUUUUUCUUAUCCCAUUAGCGUAGACAAAUGAUGUAAUAAGUAGACAUUAACAGACAAAUCAAAUGAUGAAACUAAUAGUUCACAGGAUGAAUGAAAAAUAUAAACGUGUUGCUACUAGCUAUUUUAAGGCUGCUCUUCCUCAAAUGGUUUAGUUUUCUCUAUAUAAAUAUAUAUAUAUAUAUAUACUUACCUUAAUAAUUACAGCAUCAGCCUUUGGAACACAAUCAAACAUGUCACCUCCAACAUUCUCAAUGCGGUCACACUCCUGAGCAACAGGCACAACAUGAGGAAGAUCAAAGUUGAUGCCUUGAAUCCAAGGACAUGCCUCAACCAACAAGCGCAAAGUAGUCCCAUCACCCCCGCCCACAUCUACAAUUGUCUCAAUCCCUUCGAACACCUCUAUACAACUUUCAGUCAUUGCAGACACAACCACCCUUGCAUCACAAGCCAUUGCUUCAUUGAAAAGCUUGUUGUGAUCAGGAUUGGCUGCGCCAAAGCUCCAUAUGUCCUCACCAUGUACUUCCUCAAACACUGAAUUUCUAAUAUUACCUUUGAUUCGGGUACUGAGGACAUGCCACGGUGCCAGCAUUACUGGGCUAUUCUCUAGCAAAAUGAAAGCAGCCAUGCUGUUUUGUCCGGAUUUCAAUAGCCGUUUGGACAAAGGUGUUUGUGCAUAAACUUUGGGGCCUAAUUGGGUUGCUGGCUUAUUUUUGAAUAUUUUGAGGUGGACUAGGACCCUCAUGAUGCGGUAAGGGGGAGAAGGAUCACAUCUUAGAGCAGAUGAUAGCUCUAGGAGUGUCAUGGGGCCGCCAUGGCUUUCAAUUGCAUCAGCUAUUCCAAGCUGAAUGGCACAUUUUACCACCGCGAUUUCAGCAAACCCGAACACAUAUUUCCAGAUUUGCACUUUGGCAUGUUCUUCUUCUUUCUCUUCUCC
rnacentral:lncRNA from 1 species